ACGUCACGAAAAUCACAACGUUAUCUCCCGGAACAAUUUUUCGCGCCAUUUUCGUCUGGACGUCGCAUUGUGUUAGCAAGAAAAUGCGCAUGCAUACUUUUUUUUGCAUGUAAUUCGUGUUUUGUUGUAAUAAUCUUAUUCAAAUUAUUUAAGUUAUGCGGCUGGACUGCGUCAAGGGGAGCACUCAUCCACAUAGACGUUGCCACGUGACAAAUAUGCGCUGGUAGGCGUUGUUCAUAUGGGUAAUGGUCACGGUAUAAUGAAGUCCCGUAACACAAAACCCAGGGUAGUGCUGGAAAGCCCCUUGAAUUCAACAACGGACACGACGAACCAGACCCGGGUCACAUUUGCGGACCGCCGUAAACCAGGAAGUGUGUCCGUCAGCGCGCGACCUCAGAUGACCGAUAUCGGUAACGUCCGUUCAGAGUUGUUCAGAAACUAUGGUAGAGUAAAAUUACAAAAGAGCGCAGCUGCGCGCGCAGGUUCCAAUCCCGACUCGCAAACUGGUUCCACCGUAAAUGCAAUUGAUUCUACAACGUCCAUAAAAACAAAUGGUUCCGUCCCCGCGAAUGGAGUAUGGGAACCAAUUAUUGACCCGUAUGCACAGAAGGAAUACAGUGAGGAGGAAGUAAGACUGAGGGAGAAGUACAGCGUAGAUAGAAACAGCAGCAACAACCACUAUAGGGGAUUUGUGGUGAAUGAUAACGUUUUUAUAUCAAGGGGUCGUGUCAAUGGACUUGUGAGACUGAACGAAAUAUAAAAGUUCGUUUUAUAUAACGGCUUUAGAAUAUCGUUAUUUGCUUUUUAUUUUAAACUCUGGUUAUUAUUUCGUUAUGAAAAAGAAAUAUAUAGAUAACAGAAUAAUGUCAGUUACAAUUGAAAAUGAGCCAAUUAUGAGUGUUAUAUCCAUCGUGUAUUUUCUAAACUGUGUAUGUGAAAUAAAGCGGAGUUAAAUACAUA